CUAAAAGUAAGUUAAAGAAACUAUUGGAUUCAUAUUCCAACCUUGAUAAAAAAAUCCUUUUAGA
rnacentral:tRNA from 1 species